rnacentral:rRNA from 1 species
AUGAGUGGCGAACGGGUGAGUAACACGUGAGUAACCUGUCCCUUCUUUGGGAUAACGCCCGGAAACGGGUGCUAAUACUGGAUAUUCACUGGCCUUCGCAUGGGGGUUGGUGGAAAGGUUUUUUCUGGUGGGGGAUGGGCUCGCGGCCUAUCAGCUUGUUGGUGGGGUGAUGGCCUACCAAGGCUUUGACGGGUAGCCGGCCUGAGAGGGUGACCGGUCACAUUGGGACUGAGAUACGGCCCAG